GCCGACAUAGUUCAGUUGGAAGAACGGCCGCAUCGUAAGCGGCGGGUCGCCUGUUCGAACCAGGCUGUCGGCCCCA
rnacentral:tRNA from 1 species